rnacentral:piRNA from 1 species
UACUUCGGGUCAUUUUCCCUGACUU